AUUGAACGCUGGCGGCAUGCUUUACACAUGCAAGUCGAACGGCAGCGCGGGGCAACCUGGCGGCGAGUGGCGAACGGGUGAGUAAUAUAUCGGAACGUACCCAAGAGUGGGGGAUAACGUAGCGAAAGUUACGCUAAUACCGCAUACGAUCUAAGGAUGAAAGUGGGGGAUCGCAAGACCUCAUGCUCCUGGAGCGGCCGAUAUCUGAUUAGCUAGUUGGUGAGGUAAAGGCUCACCAAGGCGACGAUCAGUAGCUGGUCUGAGAGGACGACCAGCCACACUGGGACUGAGACACGGCCCAGACUCCUACGGGAGGCAGCAGUGGGGAAUUUUGGACAAUGGGCGCAAGCCUGAUCCAGCAAUGCCGCGUGAGUGAAGAAGGCCUCGG
rnacentral:rRNA from 1 species